UGACAUAAAGUUAAAAAAAUGUUUCCUCACAGUGGUGGCGCCUCCUCGUCUCUCCUCUGCUCCCUUCUCUCCAGCUCCUGGUAAACUCUGAGGAUGCUGGAGCGAGCCUGGUGAUCCUCACGGAUCAGGAAACGACGAAGUAGUGCUGCCCCCAGUAGCCAACCACGUCCUCUAUUCCUGCUAGCAGGUGAUCAAUGAGCUAAGAGGAGACAUGAUAUGAAAGGAAAAAAGUCACAAAAGCAGAAGAUCUGUGUUCACACACAGAGGCCAUGACACCAGUGCAACAUGAAAGACUCGUUUCUAAACAACUGAAUCAACCGGAGAACCAACGCUCAUCACUGUGGCAUCUUUACUUCCAACUAAGAUUUUGCACUUAGAUACUGUACGAUGAACCAAAACAGCAAGAAAAGUCUUUGAAGAAGGUUACAUUUGAAGCUACAUGACCUUCUACAUUCUGUCAUAUCUGGUCAUUAACACCAAAUUAAUCCUCCUUCUUUUUGAAGAUCAUUUUCUUUGAUAAAUGCAUUGUGUGACAGCAUGAUUCCAAAAGUAAAAAAAUCAAGAAUACAGAGAAGUAUAAGAAUAGUAAGAAGAAUAGUAAGCACUUUUAAAUGAAAAAAAACAAAACAGCGAUAGAUCAUGUUGGUUAGUCAACAUUUUUAACCUUGUUAUACUAAGAUAAUGUCAUAUAAAUGAAAAAUAUUGUAUCAGUAAAUCUCACUGCGUAAUCUUUAUUACUAAAAACAGCUGAGAUGUUAAGGAUGUGCACCUGAAUGAAUGAUGUACUGAGCAGACCUCAAUUAUUUUGGUGUACACAUUCCUAUCACUAAAAAGAUAAGAUGACUAACACCUGGAAUACACCAUACUAAUAAUACAUAAUGUAUAUAUGUAUAUGUAUUCCUAAAAGACCAUAUUG